rnacentral:sRNA from 1 species
CAGUGCACACAAAGACCACACUGCCCACGUUUCAGAGCCCAGAGUUUUCUGUUACAAGGCAACAUGAAGACUUUGUGUGGCUACAUGACACUCUUAUUGAAACAACAGACUAUGCUGGGCUUAUUCCCCACAAGAGUGGAGUGGUUGUCUCCUGUGGACCAGCAAGAGUAGAAUGAGGCUGGGACAAGAGACUCAUGAGUUCCUGCCUCUGCUGCAGAUUCCACCUGCUCCUACGAAGCCCGACUUUGAUGGUCCUCGAGAGAAGAUGCAGAAACUGGGAGAAGGUGAAGGGUCUAUGACCAAAGAAGAAUUUGCCAAGAUGAAACAAGAACUGGAAGCUGAGUAUCUCGCUGUGUUUAAGAAGACUGUGUCCUCCCAUGAAGUCUUUCUUCAGCGGCUUUCUUCUCACCCUGUUCUCAGUAAAGAUCGCAACUUUCAUGUUUUCCUGGAAUAUGAUCAGGAUCUAAGUGUUAGGCGGAAAAAUACUAAAGAGAUGUUUGGUGGCUUCUUCAAAAGUGUGGUGAAAAGUGCUGAUGAAGUCCUUUUUACUGGAGUUAAGGAGGUAGAUGACUUCUUUGAGCAAGAGAAGAACUUCCUUAUUAACUAUUACAAUAGAAUCAAAGAUUCUUGUGUG